CGGUAAACCUGUACCUACCACUGAAAACAGAGUGGGGUGAGAACUAUCUUCCAUAGUUCCGAGUGGGCUCGGCCGCCUACUCCACCGGUCUCCCCACUAGGUCCAAGUGGGCACAAGUAACAACAGAUAGAUAGAUAGAUAGAUAUCUGAAAGCUGUAAGGGCAUAAAGGAAAACUAUGCUACUAUGCCCAUAAUUAUGUAUAAUGAAUGCACGCGUCAUAUAGUAAAGGUUUACUAUCAUGCUAACAAA
rnacentral:lncRNA from 1 species